CCUGACUACGUCAGACUUCGUACUUCCGCUAAAUUUCAUUACGCUUCUGUACUCAGUCUGAGAUACCUCCCAUUCAAACCGUUUUCCACCGGUCUCAAAACGACCGUCCAAUCAACGAACAGAGGGCGGGCUGAGAGCCGUGACGUAGACGCUAAACGCCGAAUCACGGUUGUAGUCUGUUGUGGACAUGAAGACACAAGGCUUGUUCGACUUCACGUGGCGCUGCAAGAAACGACAGCCGGAUGACGUCAAAGUAACGCGAGAACGAUUCGAGAAAUCAUACGAAGUGUAAUUUCGUCUCGCUCUCGCGGCACUUUAACGUCAUCCGUCUGUCAGUUCUAGCGGCGCCGCAUGAAGUCGAACAAGCCUACAGAAAGCUCUGUUGUGGAGAACCGGCACUUGCCAACUUAAACCCGAACAAGAAAAGUGUUUGUUAAACAUUUGAAUGGAGAUUAUGUUGUUGCCCUGCUCCCGACAAGUUUUUGGAAAAGUUUAAUUUAUCAACUUUACCGAUCGUCAGCGAGAAACUGUGUGCAGCACAGCUUGACGUGCACAACGAUCGAGAAAUCAUGGAAGGGAAUUAUAUUGUUCACAGUUAAUGUUGGAGGACGCGUGGGCAAGCAUUAUUUGGUGACAUUCCUGAUUAACCAGAAAAUAAGGUAGGGAGAUUUAAUUUACAUAUGGUUAUUGUUGUCUGGUGGAAGAGUUUGAGAGGAGAGAGGGGCUUUCCUCCCGUUAGACGUGAGUGGAAAGCCACCGUAAGGAUAGUGUUCAACUAGCUCUGGCCCGAUUUACUUUACAUAAUCUGCAAAAGUCGUUCAUAGCCAUGUUAACUCUGGUAUUUCGCUCGAUGGGUUUGUUUUCACAUCAUACGUGUAUUUUACAGCAGAGAUUCGAUGCGGCUGAUCCGGCGCAUAAAGCACAUCAUAUCCAAAUGUUAUGUGUGAUUGGCUUACGUUUAGACCAAUGAUUUUAAACUUCAGACAAGCCCCUCCCACGAGAAGGAAAACGAUUGUCAAUUAUGCCCAGCCAGACUCUGUCUAUGAAGCGAAGCAAAAUAGCAGAGGAUGGUAUUACCAGGCUAAUUAUUGUUUAUAA